AACGAACGCUGGCGGCGUGCCUAACACAUGCAAGUCGGACGGGGUUGUACUGAGCAGCUUGCUGCCUGGUACAACUUAGUGGCGGACGGGUGAGUAACACGUAGGUAACCUAUCCUGAAGAGGGGGACAAACCCCGCGAAAGCGGGGCUAAUACCGCAUAAGACCACGGGCUGGGAAGCUGGUGGUAAAAGGAGCAAUCCACUUUGGGAGGGCCUGCGGCCUAUCAGGUAGUUGGCGGGGUAAAGGCCCACCAAGCCAAAGACGGGUAGCCGGACUGAGAGGUUGGACGGCCACACUGGAACUGAGACACGGUCCAGACUCCUACGGGAGGCAGCAGUGGGGAAUUUGCGCAAUGGGGGAAACCCUGACGCAGCGACGCCGCGUGGAGGAUGAAGGUCUUCGGAUUGUAAACUCCUUUUGUAGGGGAAAAUAAUGAUGGUACCCUACGAAUAAGCCACGGCUAACUCUGUG
rnacentral:rRNA from 1 species